CCCCCCUCCAAAGUAAUUUCACCUUUCAAAAUGUCUAAGAUCCUGUGUUAGUCUGCUAAGGAUAAAAAGAAAAAGAAAAUGUCUACUAGGACAGAAAGCCUGAAAACUGUUACUAGCACAAAAUAAACAUAAAAUAGAAAAUCGUUUAUUAAAGUUUAAAAUGACACAGGAAAAUGUAGAUUUACAAAUGAAAUAAUGCUUUUAAAAACCUGUUUCUGAAUAGAGUUCUAAGAAGAAAAAUCUCUAGAACAUGCAUUCUUCUCUCCUCAGUUCUCACAAGAAUAUUUAUUGUACUCAGCAUCCUCCCCCCACCCCCAUAUAUAUAGAUGCCACUUUUAGGUAGUAAUUUUUAUUGUUAUUCACCAACUUAGAAGUGAAUCCAUGUUUUAGUUUACUUUGGAUAUAUACUGUUUAAAUCUGCUCUGUCACUGACAUUUAAAAAUUUGGUUACGUUAGGAAGAUCAUUUUAAUUUCCAUAGUACAUGAUGCUAAAAUUAAAGACACUGAGUACUAAAUGAACUUCAUCCUAGUAAAUAAUUAUGAACCAAAUUAUUCUAUAUAGUUUCGGCCUUAAGUAUACUAAGAGCAUACAAUAUAAUAAAAUCCAGCUUCUCUGGGCCUUUUGUUUUCAAUGUGUAUUUUUCUAAAUCUGAAAAUACCUAUUCGGCAGCAAGUAUAACAAAAGCAAAGACACAAAUUAAAACUAUUGAUUAUUCUGUUUAAGGCCAGGGUUUCUGAGUUUUAGUCUGAUUUUAAAAAACCUCCGUCUGUCCCUCUCUCCCUCCCUCCCUCUCACGGUAACAGCCGGAGAGGCAAGUAUGGUAAGGUCGACCUUUAAACGUUUGCUGGAUCAGCACUGGGUGGGGAUAAGAAAAGAUCAAGGGCAAACAGAAGAUAUUUGCGAAAGGGAUCUAUUUGCACACUGAAGUUGAUUUAAAAGUACGUUUAAAAAUCAAGUUGGUCUUAAUUCGUCUGUUCUAUUUUCCAUAUUCGUGGUGACAAAGGGAAAAAGAAUCUCUGGCUGCCCCCAAACUACAAACACUUUCCAAGUCAAAAGCCUGAGUGCCGGCAGAGGCAGCUGAUUAAGCCCAAUUGCUUGAAGGUGCAGCCGAGCGAAAUUCAGGCUCGGUGGAAGGUAGUUACAAAGCAACGCCUUAAGACAGGCAGGAGUGUGAAGAAUUACAUAAACAGCCAGUUAGAUCUCAUUAGAUUUCUGCUCACAGCCCUCGGAGCCCAAGCGCUACAGCAGCAGCAACAGCAAGAGGAGGUGGAGGUGGAGGAGGAAGAGAGUACGAGCCUCCUCGGAGAAGGAGGAGGAAGGCCCGGGAAAUGGAAGAGCAACCUCUCCCGG
rnacentral:lncRNA from 10 species